UACGUAGGGGGCAAGCGUUGUCCGGAUUUAUUGGGCGUAAAGAGCGUGUAGGCGGCCACACAGGUCUGCUGUGAAAACUCGAGGCUCAACCUCGAGACGCCGAUGGAAACCCCCUGGCUAGAGUCCGGAAGAGGAGAGUGGAAUUCCUGGUGUAGCGGUGAAAUGCGCAGAUAUCAGGAAGAACACCCGUGGCUAAGGCGGCUUUCUAGUACAGUACUGACGCUGAGACGCGAAAGCGUGGGGAGCGAACAGG
rnacentral:rRNA from 1 species